rnacentral:rRNA from 1 species
GUCUCAGUUCGGAUUGCAGGCUGCAACCCGCCUGCAUGAAGUUGGAAUUGCUAGUAAUCGCGGAUCAGCAUGCCGCGGUGAAUACGUUCCCUGGCCUUGUACACACCGCCCGUCACACCAUGGGAGCCGGUAAUACCCGAAGUCAGUAGCCUAACCGCAAGGGGGGCGCUGCCCGAAGGUAGGAUUGGCGACUGGGGUGAAGUCGUAACAAGGUAUC